rnacentral:rRNA from 1 species
CCCAGUGUGAUUCGUCACACUAUCAUUAACUGAAUCCAUAGGUUAAUGAGGCGAACCGGGGGAACUGAAACAUCUAAGUACCCCGAGGAAAAGAAAUCAACCGAGAUUCCCCCAGUAGCGGCGAGCGAACGGGGAGGAGCCCAGAGCCUGAAUCAGCAUGUGUGUUAGUGGAAGCGUCUGGAAAGGCGCGCGAUACAGGGUGACAGCCCCGUACACAAAAGCGCAUGUGCUGUGAGCUCGAUGAGUAGGGCGGGACACGUGGUAUCCUGUCUGAAUAUGGGGGGACCAUCCUCCAAGGCUAAAUACUCCUGACUGACCGAUAGUGAACCAGUACCGUGAGGGAAAGGCGAAAAGAACCCCGGCGAGGGGAGUGAAAAAGAACCUGAAACCGUGUACGUACAAGCAGUGGGAGCACAGGUUUACCUGUGUGACUGCGUACCUUUUGUAUAAUGGGUCAGCGACUUAUAUUCUGUAGCAAGGUUAACCGAAUAGGGGAGCCGGAGGGAAACCGAGUCUUAAUUGGGCGUUAAGUUGCAGGGUAUAGACCCGAAACCCGGUGAUCUAGCCAUGGGCAGGUUGAAGGUUGGGUAACACUAACUGGAGGACCGAACCGACUAAUGUUGAAAAAUUAGCGGAUGACCUGUGGCUGGGGGUGAAAGGCCAAUCAAACCGGGAGAUAGCUGGUUCUCCCCGAAAGCUAUUUAGGUAGCGCCUCGUGAAUUCAUCUCCGGGGGUAGAGCACUGUUUCGGCUAGGGGGCCAUCCCGGCUUACCAACCCGAUGCAAACUGCGAAUACCGGAGAAUGUUAUCACGGGAGACACACGGCGGGUGCUAACGUCCGUCGUGAAGAGGGAAACAACCCAGACCGCCAGCUAAGGUCCCAAAGUCAUGGUUAAGUGGGAAACGAUGUGGGAAGGCCCAGACAGCCAGGAUGUUGGCUUAGAAGCAGCCAUCAUUUAAAGAAAGCGUAAUAGCUCACUGGUCGAGUCGGCCUGCGCGGAAGAUGUAACGGGGCUAAACCAUGCACCGAAGCUGCGGCAGCGACACUGUGUGUUGUUGGGUAGGGGAGCGUUCUGUAAGCCUGUGAAGGUGU